GGGGAUUUAGCUCAGUGGUAGAGCGCUUGCCUAGCAAGAGAAAGGCCCUGGGUUCGGUCCCCAGCUCCA
rfam:Rattus norvegicus chromosome 1, whole genome shotgun sequence.